GCCGGCGUGGUGGAAUUGGUAGACACGCUGGACUCAAAAUCCAGUGCCCGUUAGGGCGUGCCGGUUCGACUCCGGCCGCCGGUA
rnacentral:tRNA from 3 species